UACGAAGGGGGCUAGCGUUGUUCGGAAUUACUGGGCGUAAAGCGCACGUAGGCGGAUAUUUAAGUCAGGGGUGAAAUCCCGGGGCUCAACCCCGGAACUGCCUUUGAUACUGGGUAUCUCGAGUCCGAGAGAGGUGAGUGGAAUUCCGAGUGUAGAGGUGAAAUUCGUAGAUAUUAGCAGGAACACCAGUGGCGAAGGCGGCUCACUGGCCCGGUACUGACGCUGAGGUGCGAAAGCGUGGGGAGCAAACAGG
rnacentral:rRNA from 1 species